UCCCAGCUACUCGGGAGGCUGAGGCAGGAGAAUCGCUUGAACCCGGGAGGCGGAGGUUGCAGUGAACCCAGAUUGCACCAUUGCACUCCAGCCUGGGCGACAGAGUGAGACUCUGUCUCAAAAAAAAAAAAAAAGAAAAAAAAAGAAUUGAGGUCAGAGGGGGCAAUCACAGGAGUUUGAUUUGUAGAAGCAGAAGGCUCCCAUUUUGUAUUUGCUGAGCCCGGGAAGCAUUUCCCAAGAAACUCAAAAGACUCGCCAUGCCCCGCUGACCCUGACCUUCUGCUCCUUGUGUCUCCUUUCUCAGGAGCGCAGGGCUGGCUUUGGGCCUCCAGCAUUGUGAAAGAAGUUGAGAAACAUUAGAAAGAUCUCAGAUCAUUCCCAGAAUUGCCUAGUGAGUCUAAUCGUGGUGUUGAGUCACCUGGAGGCUGGAGGGGGCCCCAAGCCCUACAGCUCCGGGCCUGAGGCGGGUCCUCAGACAGUCCCUGGGCUGAACUGAAGCUAAGCAAAGCUCUGCGUUCGCAGGGAGGUCCCCGUGGGCUCUUUGCCUGUGUCUUUCUAGCCAGAAGGUCCCAGGGUUUUCCGUAUGUGGAGGAACUUGGGGUGCCAAAAACACAGGAGCACUUCAUGAGCAGCUUUUUCUUAUUUGUGCAUUUAUUUAACAUUCUCUUCAGAGAUAAGGGCACAUAUAAGUUUCGUUGUUUUUAUGAAUUUAAGGAAUUUCCUUUUCUUUUCUUUUCUUUUCUUUUCUUUUUGAGACGGAGUCUCACUCUGUUGCCCAGGCUGGAGUGCAGUGGCACAGUCUUGGCUCACUGCAACUUCUUCCUCCGUGGUUUAAGCGAUUCUCCUGCCUCAGCCUCCCGAGUAGCUGGGAUUACAGGAAUGCGCCACUGCGCCCAACUAAUUUUUGUAUUUUUAGUAGAGACGGGUUUCACCACGUUGGCCAGGCUGGUCUUGAACUUCUGGCCUCAAGUGAUACGCCUGACUCGUGCUGGGAUUACAGGUGUGAGCCACCGUGCCAGACCUAAGGAGAUUUUUUUCUAAAAAGGUUACCUUCCAGAAAUUUAAGAAUGGUUUAAUAUUAUGAAAUCUAUCAAUGUGAUUGAUCAUAUUAAUAUUUAGCAUAUAAAAGAGAAAAAUGAUGUGAUAAUCCCCACAGAUACUGAAAAAUUCAACAGUUUAUUUUUGGUAAACACUCUUAAUAAAAUAGGAACAGGUAUAUUUUCUUAAUACGAAACAAUAUACUUAUCUCAGUAUAAAAGCCAGCAUCAUACUUAAUGGGGACACAAUAAAAGUUCUCCCAAACUUGAAGUCAAGAACAAAAGAGGUUUAUCCAUUUUUACAGCUAUUACUUAAUAUUUUUCUGGAUGUGUUAGCCAAUAUAAUUUGACAAGAGGUAGAAUAUAGAGAUAGAGAAAUCAGAAUGGAGGAAAAAUUAUUAUUUUCAGAUCAAAAUAACUGUAUACUUGGAAAACACAAAGGAUUUUAUUCAGAAAUUACACACCAAAUGCUGGUGAGGAUGAAAAGAAAUAGGAAGGGCCAUUCAUUGUUGGUGGGAAUGCAAAAUGGUAUACAGCCAGUUUGGAAGAGAGUUGGCAGUUCCUUAGAAAACUAAACAUGCUCUUACCACACAAUCCAGCAGUCGAGCUCCUUGAUAUUUAUCCAAAUGAACUGAAAACUCAGGUCUGCACAAAAGCCUUAUAUGAGGCCAGGCGUGGUGGCUCACGCCUGUAAUCCCAGCACUUUGGGAGGCCGAGGCAGGCGGAUCACGAGGUCAGGAGAUCGAGACCAUCCUGGCUAACAUGGUGAAACCCCAUCUCU
rnacentral:lncRNA from 1 species